GCUGCUCAUAAAGACAGCCUCCACGCGGCGAGCAGCGGGCAACGGGAAUUCCCGGCAAAUUGUCUUU
rnacentral:ribozyme from 1 species